UUAGGUUUUUAUUAUAUAAGGUGAUCAAACAAUUGUCUACUUGUCACAUAAAAAGGUAGAACACAAUGGCUAAAACUCUCAAGGUUGUUUACACUGUGAUUCUUUUAGUGUCUCUAUUUCUUCUUUUAAUCGCCGCUAGUGCAAAACAGAGAUGUAAGUCACGCGUUGAUUGUAAAACAUAUCCGUGUCCCAUUCCUAAAGUCAAGAGUUGCCUUAAUGGUUAUUGUAAAUGUGUUAGAAUUUGGUGAUGACAAGAAAUCAAUGGAGCUUGUGGAAUAGAGAUCAUUCGUUGAUAACUUGAAGCACUAAGCAGUUGUGGUUAACUUACUUUUAAGAAGCAUUAUACAAUAGAAAAAAUAAAAGACAUAUAUAUGUAUCAAAAUAAUUAAAUAUAAAUACACUUUUAACAAUUUAAAGAUUUCAA